rnacentral:rRNA from 1 species
GACGAACGCUGGCGGCGCGCCUAACACAUGCAAGUCGAACGAGAGAUGAGGAGCUUGCUCUUCAAAUCGAGUGGCGAACGGGUGAGUAACGCGUGAGGAACCUGCCUCAAAGAGGGGGACAACAGUUGGAAACGACUGCUAAUACCGCAUAAGCCCACGGCUCGGCAUCGAGCAGAGGGAAAAGGAGCAAUCCGCUUUGAGAUGGCCUCGCGUCCGAUUAGCUAGUUGGUGAGGUAACGGCCCACCAAGGCGACGAUCGGUAGCCGGACUGAGAGGUUGAACGGCCACAUUGGGACUGAGACACGGCCCAGACUCCUACGGGAGGCAGCAGUGGGGAAUAUUGCACAAUGGGGGAAACCCUGAUGCAGCGACGCCGCGUGGAGGAAGAAGGUCUUCGGAUUGUAAACUCCUGUUGUUGAGGAAGAUAAUGACGGUACUCAACAAGGAAGUGACGGCUAACUACGUGCCAGCAGCCGCGGUAAAACGUAGGUUACAAGCGUUGUCCGGAAUUACUGGGUGUAAAGGGAGCGCAGGCGGGAGAACAAGUUGGAAGUGAAAUCCAUGGGCUCAACCCAUGAACUGCUUUCAAAACUGUUUUUCUUGAGUAGUGCAGAGGUAGGCGGAAUUCCCGGUGUAGCGGUGGAAUGCGUAGAUAUCGGGAGGAACACCAGUGGCGAAGGCGGCCUACUGGGCACCAACUGACGCUGAGGCUCGAAAGUGUGGGUAGCAAACAGGAUUAGAUACCCUGGUAGUCCACACCGUAAACGAUGAUUACUAGGUGUUGGAGGAUUGACCCCUUCAGUGCCGCAGUUAACACAAUAAGUAAUCCACCUGGGGAGUACGACCGCAAGGUUGAAACUCAAAGGAAUUGACGGGGGCCCGCACAAGCAGUGGAGUAUGUGGUUUAAUUCGACGCAACGCGAAGAACCUUACCAAGUCUUGACAUCCCUUGACGAUGCUGGAAACAGUAUUUCUCUUCGGAGCAAGGAGACAGGUGGUGCAUGGUUGUCGUCAGCUCGUGUCGUGAGAUGUUGGGUUAAGUCCCGCAACGAGCGCAACCCUUAUGGUCAGUUACUACGCAAGAGGACUCUGGCCAGACUGCCGUUGACAAAACGGAGGAAGGUGGGGAUGACGUCAAAUCAUCAUGCCCUUUAUGACUUGGGCUACACACGUACUACAAUGGCGUUAAACAAAGAGAAGCAAGACCGCGAGGUGGAGCAAAACUCAGAAACAACGUCCCAGUUCGGACUGCAGGCUGCAACUCGCCUGCACGAAGUCGGAAUUGCUAGUAAUCGUGGAUCAGCAUGCCACGGUGAAUACGUUCCCGGGCCUU